GGCUCGGUGCUCGGCUGGGCUGCGGCUGCAGAGGCGGUUUCGGACGUUGGCCCUCGCGGACCGUGCGGGGCGCGGGCGACGCUCCCGAGUCUAGCGGGGUCAGUUCAGCGCCGGCGGCUCCGCGGGUGCGCCCUCGGCUCCUCCUCCUCCGCUGCCUCCUCCUCCGCUGCCUUCUCCUCCGCUGCUGCCUCCGCCUCCGCCGCCGCCUCCUCGAGGAAGUGAGGAGUCCGAGAUGGAGUCAAUGUAUCUUCAGAAGCACCUUGGGGCGUGUCUAACUCAAGGUCUUGCAGAGGUGGCGAGAGUCCGCCCCGUGGACCCAAUAGAGUAUUUAGCGUUGUGGAUCUACAAGUAUAAGGAGAACGUGACCAUGGAGCAGCUGAGACAACAGGAAAUGGCUGACUUGGCACGAGAGAGACAGCACGCCCUGAUGGAGCAGGAAAUGAUGGAGAGGCUUAGAGCAGAGGAGCUCCUGUUUCAGCAGCAACAGCUGGCAUUCCAGCUGGAGUUGGAAAUGCAGGAAAAAGAGACACAGAGAACAGAGGAACUGCAGAGAGCUCAAGAACAAUUGGAAAAGGAGGCGAGACUGGAUAUGGACAGUAUGGCUAAGAGCGAAGAUACUUCACAUUCAGAGGACGCAGCAGCAGACUCAGGCAAGACGCUCGCUGAAAUCAGUGAUCGAUACGGCGCGCCCAACCUGAGCAGAGUGGAGGAGCUCGAUGAGCCGAUGCUGUCCGACGGAGCUGGAAAGUUCCAGUGAACAAAACAGAGUGGUUCCUGCCCUUUGGGGGCCGUGGAACCAAUGGACCAGAGCAGGGAAACCUGACCAAGCCUGGACGAGUCUUCUGGAGGAAAUGAGUUUUAAGGAAUCAGCCUGAGAUAAACCCAGCGGAUGGAGAAAGCAAGAUGCUUUGGAGGAUGUGAAAUGGUCGAGUAUUCUGGUUGCAUUAAACAUUGACCAAGAUUUGUAGGAUCAACCAACUUAAGAGCAAUAAAUUGUUCUGCCUGUUUCGAGUUUCAAAAUA